AGGAGCGGGAGGAGGCGGAGGAUGUUCCCGGCGGCUGCGGCCGGGGCAGCGCGGACCAGAGACGCGGCGUGCGGAGCCCUCAGCUGCCCGGCGGAGCGCGGCAGCGGACGGGCGGCGAGUUGCAGGCUCUCCGCUGCCCCGGGCGCUCCGACCGCGAGUCCCGGGCUUUGUCUCCCGGACCGCCUUCGUGUUGACGGUCAGGGGGCUCCGGGUCGGCGAAGGGCGCGGGCUGGGCGCCGCCGGGCCCCGGCCCGGACGCGACGCUCGGAAGGGAAGGGGCGGACAAAAAAAGACCAAAUGGCAAAGCAACCUUCCGAUGUAAGUUCUGAGUGUGACAGAGAAGGUGGACAAUUGCAGCCUGCCGAAAGGCCUCCUCAGCUCAGGCCUGGGGCCCCCAUCUCUCUACAGACAGAGCGGCAAGGUAAUCCCGAAGGAGAAGGGGACCGCUGCCCCCAAGGCAGCCCGCAGGGCCCACUGGCCCCACCGGCCAGUCCCGGCCCUUUCGCUACCAGAUCCCCGCUUUUCAUCUUCGUGAGAAGAUCUUCCCUGCUGUCUCGAUCCUCCAGUGGGUAUUUCUCUUUUGACACAGACAGGAGCCCGGCACCCAUGAGUUGUGACAAAUCAACACAAACCCCAAGUCCUCCUUGCCAGGCCUUCAACCAUUAUCUCAGUGCGAUGGCUUCCAUGAGGCAGUCUCAGGCUGUACCUGCAGAUAUGCGUCCGGAGAUAUGGAUUGCGCAAGAGUUGCGGCGUAUUGGAGACGAAUUUAAUGCAUAUUACCCAAGGAGGUUAGAGCAAUAGAGGAAGUUGUCGUGUAGUUGUCAUGUGCUCAGUGCACUUGAGGGCAGUGGGGAAGCAUAUGAGACGGAGCUGUGGAGUCUGAAUCCUUGAAGCAGGAGGUGAGAGAGGCACAGGUCUUUCUGAAUAAUCACCAAGCAGCCGAAGGUCACCCGCAAAUGGUUAUCUUACGACUGUUACGCCACAUCAUCCGUCUGGUGUGGAGGAUGCAGUGACAGCGGGUUCCUCACGGAGCCGGGAUGUGCAGACAUUUUGCUCGUUCAGAGCGACAAGCCCAGCGCCUCGGUGUCUCGGUGCCCUUGCUGUGCAGCCCGAGGUCCCUCGCCGGAGGGGGCGGGCGGGGAGCCUGCCGGCGUGGCCCCGGAGAACACCGAGCUGCACGUGGACCUGACCUUGUCUUUCAUCAUCACCACGCGGCCGAAUUUCUAACCGAAGCUUGUUGUGAAUGUAAAUGAGGGAGGAUUGUCUUUUUAAACAAUGUACAAAUCAUGGUUCUUUGGAGCAGGAUUUUAUGCAAGAAUGGUGUUUACAUGCCGUGUGUGUUUUUUUUUUUUGUUCCCACCUUCUUUGAUAAGAACAGGUUUUUCAAAAAGGAAACGGAAACUUUUUAACCAACUUGUGAGUGAUUUUUGUACUAAAAUUUUAAGAACCUUUUGCCUACUCAGAGGAUUGUGUAAACUCUGCAGUGGAAACUGAGCCAGCUGAAUUAUAAAGCUGCCUUAGUUUAUUUUUAGAGGUCACCAUACAGCAUUUUUAAACAGGAGAGGUAUGAUGCAGCCCCUCCCUUCCCUGCCAUUGCCUCUUGGACCUUUUUUUUUUUUUUAAGUCAUUAUUAUUAAUACCAAAAAAGUUCUUACGAAGUGGAACUGGUAAAAGGGGCAGAGGGGUCUCUUGUCAGCCUGUAUUGACAUGCCACUCCCAUUUUGUAAAUAUCUACUUACCUCCUUAAAUUCAGUUGCGUCUGUGGCAAAAUUUCAGACUCUUCUUGUGUUUCUCCUUACGUCCUUUGGUGACGCUCCUCCAGCCUGUCGGGACCCUGAUGCACACAUUUGGUCCAGUGUAUUUUCAUGGUAAAAAGCAUAAUUGGGUCGGAACAUGAGUUAGUAUCUGCCUGUAUCAGACACAGGUCUGUUGGUCUAUUGGUAGCUUACUCACUGGGAGGUGCUCGAUGUUGGUUUUCGUUUGGUUUUGAUGGGCUUGUCGUUUAGAAGUGUUCUGAAGAGGUAAUGGCGGUCAUAACACAAGGGAUGCACUGUUGGCUUUUCUGGAUGCAGGCCUUCCCAUAUCGCAGGAUGGACUCUUAGCCUAAGGCCCCCAGGUGGUUAACAUGCCCACGUGCAGCCGAGUUCCCGUCGAGGUAUCCAAGCUCGAGCCCUUGUGGGAACUGGUGCAGGCUAUGGGCGGGACUUGAGACAGCUGUUUCCUGGGCAUCCUGGCUUUUUGUCCAACUCAGAGUUCAUCUGGCUUUUGAUGGCUAACACUUGGUUCCCACUCUUUGAAAUACAGACUUAAUUCUGCUCUCGGCAGUUCUAUUAAAAACCCCGUUGGACACAAGUCUGAAAUGGUCCCUUGGCCUUCUGACAGAUGUCUGUGUCACUUGUUCCACUUCUCUUGGGACGGCUGGAUUUUGUCAGGCCCCCUUCAUGCGGCCACUUCUGUUGGGGAUGCCCUUCCUCCGCGCCUGCCAUGAUUAUGGCAGAGAAUGGAAGCCCACGAGUUGGUCAGUCUUUUCAAAGGCAGUUAAACUACUGGGGAGACCCAAGAAAGACAGAUUAGGGAGCAUUGAAAGAGGGGAGGUGGAGAUCAUUCUGUGAAGACCCCAUCACUCUUAUAGUUUUAGAAACCUCAGAUCAUUGAACAGCUUUUUAAAAAAGAUACGUGAUUUUUCAGAUGAGUCAACAGUGCCAACAACAACUAUCGUAUUUGCUUUUGGCCCAUCGAGAACCAGUGUUUUCACGUUAUCAGUUGGAAAAAUUGAUUCAUUUUUGUAUCUUCAUAAUUUUAUAUAAGUAUAUAUAUAUAUAUGUUGCAUAUACACUUUUUCCUUAGGUAGAGAUAUUUGACUCCAAAUAUUCUUCCUUCUAAAAGUUUUCUUUUCCCCAGAUACCUUCUUGGGGUCUUGAAUUGUUUAAAAGCUGUGUUGAGUCUCAGCUUGUGUCCUUGACAUGUCUUGAACCCCUCUGCAGGGUCCUCAAGUCCACGCGGUUGUUAAGGUGGUUGGUGGAAUUGCAGCCGUGGGCCUGCUGGACACACACACCAAAGACGUAUUUGGUUCUGGGCCGCUCCCCUCCCAGGAUCUCCAUGCUCUAUACGGGCCAGUCUCUCGGACUGGAGCACUUUAUUCUGUUCCUUCAGCCCUGGUGCCCGGGGGCUGAGAGCUCGCUCACCCACGUGCAAGUUUACCUCGGGCUCGGCGGCCUCCAGGCCCCAGGGCUGGCCGUGGAAGCAGCUGGUGAGGAAAUUAGAGAUUCUAUGAAUUGUAGAAGUAUUAAGAGGGUGUUGCCCCAGGACUUAAGAGAGGUGACUGGACGUCUCUGUACUGUACGUAUCUGUUUAUCAAGAUGCCUCCCUGCAGAAAGUAUACCCACUGUGGGUGUACCUUUGACUUCUUAUUUUUCCUUUCUUUGACUUUUUAUAGAGAAAAAAAUAACUCAAUCCCUUUUUGGAAACUGAAUGCGGGUUUUGUGCCUUGACCACCUCGUCUCAACGUGAGGUUUGUAGAAAGUGUCCUGUGACUUUUCACAGAAAUGCAAUAAACACACACGAAAUUAACUUCAUGAGUGAAUCUGCAAAUUACCUGGACUCCUGUUUAUGAAGAAUUUUUUUUUUUUUCUUGGUUGUGGAGAAACCAGGUGAAAAUUUCUUCCGAGUUAAAAAAAAAAAAAAAAUGUACACAGUAGACGACAGCUUUCUCCUGUUUCCCCUUCUUAAUGUUGUAUAUAUUUUGACUAUUUAUUAGAUUAGGAAGUCAUAUUUUACUUAUCAACUGAGCCAAACGUCUGUGUGCAAUUAUUAUGUUUCCUUUACCUUUCUUGUAAAAUUUUGUACAGCAUAAAUGAGUAAAAAAAAAAAAAAAAAAAAAAAAAAAUCACUGUUUUUACUAAACUUUUUCAGAAUUGAGGAUUGUAAAUAUUGUAGAUUCUUUUUCUGUGUAAUGUGUCCUACUGUUUCAUAAUGCUGUAACUUGUAGAGAUGUUGUAUAUUUAUUUCCAGCUUAUUUAAUGUCUUAAAUUCUGAAAAGUGUUGACCUCCCUGACCCCUACCCCCUGCUGUCCUGUUAAUUGCUUUAACUCUGAGGUGGCGACUGGUUAGCUCACUGCAGGCGACGUGGUCUCCCCCGGGGUGGCCCUCCAGCUUUGGUUCCUGGUAUUUCUAGUCAAAUGGGUUUAGAUUCGUAGAGUUUGCUGUCCUCAUGUUGAAGUUUGUGUUUAGACAUCAAUGAGAGACCAUAAACCUAGCAGGCUGUCAACUUCUACUCUAGAGCUUUCCAGUGACUUUCUCUUGUUCCCCAACGGCUAGCUUCUCAUGGAAGCACAUGCUGUUAACUCCAGGCCAUAUUUUAAAGCCAAAAUGUAUACGUGUGUGUGUGUGUGUGUGUG